rnacentral:piRNA from 1 species
UGUCCUACAUUUCAUUAUUAGUGAUUGAC